rnacentral:rRNA from 1 species
GGUAAUGCCCUACCAAGGCAACGAUGAGUAGCUGGUCUGAGAGAUGAUCAGCCACACUGGACUGAAACACGGCCCAGACUCUACGGAGGCAGCAGUGGGAAUAUUGCGCAAUGGGGGAAACCCUGACGCAGCGACGCCGCGUGUAGGAAGAAGGCUUCGGGUCGUAAACUACUGUCAAGAGGGAAGAAACUGUUUGGUCAUAAUACGUCCAUUCACUGACGGUACCUCUAGAGGAAGCACCGGCUAACUCCGUGCCAGCAGCCGCGGUAAUACGGAGGGUGCGAGCGUUAAUCGGAAUCACUGGGCGUAAAGCGUGCGUAGGCGGCGCUUCAAGUCAGACGUGAAAGCCCUCGGCUCAACCGAGGAAUUGCGUUUGAAACUGGAGUGCUAGAGUCUCGGAGAGGUUGGCGGAAUUCCAGGUGUAGGAGUGAAAUCCGUAGAUAUCUGGAGGAACACCGGUGGCGAAGGCGGCCAACUGSACGAGUACUGACGCUGAGGUACGAAAGCGUGGGGAGCAAACAGGAUUAGAUACCCUGGUAGUCCACGCUGUAAACGAUGGAUAUUAGGUGUCGGGUUUUAAAUUCGGUGCCGCAGUUAACGCGUUAAAUAUCC